rnacentral:rRNA from 1 species
AGAGUUUGAUCCUGGCUCAGGAUGAACGCUAGCUACAGGCUUAACACAUGCAAGUCGAGGGGCAGCAUGGUCUUAGCUUGCUAAGGCCGAUGGCGACCGGCGCACGGGUGAGUAACACGUAUCCAACCUGCCGUCUACUCUUGGACAGCCUUCUGAAAGGAAGAUUAAUACAAGAUGGCAUCAUGAGUCCGCAUGUUCACAUGAUUAAAGGUAUUCCGGUAGACGAUGGGGAUGCGUUCCAUUAGAUAGUAGGCGGGGUAACGGCCCACCUAGUCUUCGAUGGAUAGGGGUUCUGAGAGGAAGGUCCCCCACAUUGGAACUGAGACACGGUCCAAACUCCUACGGGAGGCAGCAGUGAGGAAUAUUGGUCAAUGGGCGAGAGCCUGAACCAGCCAAGUAGCGUGAAGGAUGACUGCCCUAUGGGUUGUAAACUUCUUUUAUAAAGGAAUAAAGUCGGGUAUGGAUACCCGUUUGCAUGUACUUUAUGAAUAAGGAUCGGCUAACUCCGUGCCAGCAGCCGCGGUAAUACGGAGGAUCCGAGCGUUAUCCGGAUUUAUUGGGUUUAAAGGGAGCGUAGAUGGAUGUUUAAGUCAGUUGUGAAAGUUUGCGGCUCAACCGUAAAAUUGCAGUUGAUACUGGAUAUCUUGAGUGCAGUUGAGGCAGGCGGAAUUCGUGGUGUAGCGGUGAAAUGCUUAGAUAUCACGAAGAACUCCGAUUGCGAAGGCAGCCUGCUAAGCUGCAACUGACAUUGAGGCUCGAAAGUGUGGGUAUCAAACAGGAUUAGAUACCCUGGUAGUCCACACGGUAAACGAUGAAUACUCGCUGUUUGCGAUAUACUGCAAGCGGCCAAGCGAAAGCGUUAAGUAUUCCACCUGGGGAGUACGCCGGCAACGGUGAAACUCAAAGGAAUUGACGGGGGCCCGCACAAGCGGAGGAACAUGUGGUUUAAUUCGAUGAUACGCGAGGAACCUUACCCGGGCUUAAAUUGCAGAUGAAUUACGGUGAAAGCCGUAAGCCGCAAGGCAUCUGUGAAGGUGCUGCAUGGUUGUCGUCAGCUCGUGCCGUGAGGUGUCGGCUUAAGUGCCAUAACGAGCGCAACCCUUGUUGUCAGUUACUAACAGGUUCUGCUGAGGACUCUGACAAGACUGCCAUCGUAAGAUGUGAGGAAGGUGGGGAUGACGUCAAAUCAGCACGGCCCUUACGUCCGGGGCUACACACGUGUUACAAUGGGGGGUACAGAGGGCCGCUACCACGCGAGUGGAUGCCAAUCCCAAAAACCUCUCUCAGUUCGGACUGGAGUCUGCAACCCGACUCCACGAAGCUGGAUUCGCUAGUAAUCGCGCAUCAGCCACGGCGCGGUGAAUACGUUCCCGGGCCUUGUACACACCGCCCGUCAAGCCAUGGGAGCCGGGGGUACCUGAAGUGCGUAACCGCGAGGAGCGCCCUAGGGUAAAACUGGUGACUGGGGCUAAGUCGUAACAAGGUAGCCG